AACGAACGCUGGCGGCAGGCCUAACACAUGCAAGUCGAACGCCGUAGCAAUACGGAGUGGCAGACGGGUGAGUAACACGUGGGAACAUACCCUUCGGUUCGGAAUAAACUCAGGGAAACGUUGAGCUAAUACCGGAUACGUCCGCGAGGAGAAAGAUUCAUCGCCGGAGGAUUGGCCCGCGUCUGAUUAGCUUGUUGGUGAGGUAACGGCUCACCAAGGCGACGAUCAGUAGCUGGUCUGAGAGGAUGAUCAGCCACAUUGGGACUGAGACACGG
rnacentral:rRNA from 1 species